CCUUUACCGACUUUUUUGGGUCCGCUCCUGCCGCGACGGAGCCCGCAAAGAGUGACAAGAAUAAGAAGAAAGACAAGGGCAACUCGGAUCUUGCUCCAGCCGCGACAGAGGGCCAGGGGGCGGGCAAGAAGUCCAAUACAGAGGCAAAGCAAGAUACAGUUUGUUUGAAUAAUGGAGUACCACCUUCAAAGUCUAAACCAUUUUUGAUGAUUUAUAGUAAAAAGUACCGUAAGGGAAAGGUGAAAUAACAUUUUCGAAUUUGAAAUAUAAUCUGAAAUUUAUUGCUGACAAUCAGUUAAAGCUUUUAAAAAGUGAUAGCGUUCCUUUUGCAUAAUGAAUCAAUGAGUUUAUUUUAGUGGCAAGCUUAAACUAAGUCUAAGUGUAGGCAAAAAAAAAAUGAGUCUAAAAUUACAACAAGUCUCUAAAAUAAAACCCGAAACUAAGUGAGCUAACCAUGAACAGGUUGAAAAUUCAAGCGGUAACGCUUAUUAGAGGACCGAACCCGUGUCUGUUGAAAAAUACUGGGAUGAUUUGUGGUUAGGGGUGAAAGGCCAAUCAAACUUAGAUAUAGCUGGUUUUCUGCGAAAUCUAUUUAAGUAGAGCGUUUAAAUUACAUGUUUUUAAGGUAGAGCACUCAAUAAACUAAGGGGACUUAACGUCUUACUGAAUUUAAUGAAACUCCAAAUAUAAAAAUAAAAGAAUUUAAGCAGACAGACUAUGGGUGCUAAGAUCCAUACGUCGAGAGGGAAACAGCCCAGAUUAUUCGUUAAGGUCCUCAAAAGUAAUUAAGUGAAAAAGAAAGUAAAAAAAUUUAAACAAUUGGUAGGUAGGCUUGGAAGCAGCCAUCCUUUAAAGAAAGCGUAACAGCUCACGAAUAUAAUUUUUUUGCGUCAAAAAUGUAUAAGGGCUUAAAUUACUUUACCGAAACGGUAAAUUAUUUUGUUUAAAAUAUUGGUAGCAGAACGUUUUGUAUGUCUAAAAAGGUAUAUGGUAAUAUAUAUUGAAGAUAUCAAAAUUGAGAAUAUUGAUAUAAGUAACGAUAAACAAUGUAAAAAACAUUGUCGUCUUAAGUUUAAGGUUUAUAAGGUAAGGUUAAUCUUCCUUAUUAAAAAUAUUUUUUAUUUUUAAAUACAAUCGGUCCCUAAGAUAAAUACGAAAGUUUUAAUUAAUGGGUUAAUAAGUUAAAAUCUUAUUAAAAAAUUAAAGUGACAAAAUAUGAAUUUGAUAACUAUUUAAUGGUUAAAAUAGUUGUUUUUUAAUAUUUUCAAGAAAUAGCUUUAAUUAUAUAUAAAUACCGUACUGUAAACCGACACAGGUAAACAAAUUUAGUAAAUUAAGACGCUUGAGAUAAUUGUGUUGAAGGAACUCGGCAAAAUGACUCCGUAACUUCGGGAGAAGGAGUGACAAUAUUUGAGUAAUCUUUUAUUGUUGGCACAUAAUCGGGGACAGCAACAGUUUAACAAAAACCUAGGUCUCUGCUAAUUCGCAAGAAGACGUAUAGAGACUGACGCCUGCCCAGUGCUGCAAGAAUAACUUUUUAAGUAUACGCUUAAAAACUAACUCCCAGUAAACGGCGGCUGUAAUUGUGACGGUCCAAAGGUAGCGAAAUUCCUUGGCAUUUAAUUGGUGUCCUGCAUGAAUGGCGUAAUGACUGUCCCACUGUCUCCAACACAAGCUCAGUGAAAUUGAAAUUUCCGUGAAGAUGCGGAAUACUUUUGGCUAGACGGAAAGACCCCGUGCACUUUAACUGCUACUAUACAUUGUAAUAAAGCUUUUUAUGUAUAGAAUAAGUAGGAGUUUGUUAUACUUUUACUUUAUAAGUAAACUGUUUAAACAUUAGUGAAAUACUACUCUUAAAAAUUUUUAUUACUUAAUAUUAAUUAUAUUUUAUUGACUAUUGUAUAAUAGGUAGUUUGACUGGGGCGGUCGCCUCCUAAAGAGUAACGGAGGCGUGCUAAAGUAAACUUAAUUCGAAAUUCUUCGAAUUUAAAGCAUAAUAGUAAAUGUUUGCUUGACUGUAAAAUUGACAAAUUGAACAGAGACGCAAGUCGGUUAUAGUGAUCCGGUGAUUCUUUGUGGAAAGGUCAUCGCUCAACGGAUAAAAAGUACGCCGGGGAUAACAGGCUAAUCACUCUCUAGAGACCCUAUCGACGGAGUGGUUUGGCACCUCGAUGUUGGGUGCGACUCGUUAGUGUAAAGACGGAAAUAAUCCCGUUGUAAAACUGCGGUGUUUGACAUCUUGAUUUAAGGAAGAAAAUACUGAUAACUGAUUUUUCAGGUGGGUAACCAAACCCACGUAUCCUGCCUCAUUGGAUACUGAUCAUAGACACCACGCGUGAUAACGUGGAUUCCCCUACGUGUUUCAUACGCUAAGACCGUAUAAGCAUGGAAGCAGGGCUAAAAGUUUGUAAUUAGAGACAUAUUCCUCGAAAUUACUUAUGAGAAUUAUAUAAAUGAGUCUAGCGAAAGCGAAUCUAUGUAGUAAAGUGCCGUUACGAGGAUUUCUGGGGUAUGAUAUG
rnacentral:rRNA from 1 species